UGAGGAAUAUUGGUCAAUGGACGGAAGUCUGAACCAGCCAAGUAGCGUGCAGGAUGACGGCCCUAUGGGUUGUAAACUGCUUUUGUAUGGGGAUAAAGUUAGGGACGUGUCCCUAUUUGCAGGUACCAUACGAAUAAGGACCGGCUAAUUCCGUGCCAGCAGCCGCGGUAAUACGGAAGGUCCGGGCGUUAUCCGGAUUUAUUGGGUUUAAAGGGAGCGUAGGCCGGGGAUUAAGUGUGUUGUGAAAUGUAGACGCUCAACGUCUGACUUGCAGCGCAUACUGGUUUCCUUGAGUACGCACAACGUUGGCGGAAUUCGUCGUGUAGCGGUGAAAUGCUUAGAUAUGACGAAGAACUCCGAUUGCGAAGGCAGCUGACGGGAGCGCAACUGACGCUUAAGCUCGAAGGUGCGGGUAUCAAACAGGAUUAGAUACCCUGGUAGUCCGCACAGUAAACGAUGGAUGCCCGCUGUUGGUACCUGGUAUCAGCGGCUAAGCGAAAGCAUUAAGCAUCCCACCUGGGGAGUACGCCGGCAACGGU
rnacentral:rRNA from 1 species